rnacentral:rRNA from 1 species
AUUGAACGCUGGCGGCAGGCUUAACACAUGCAAGUCGAACGAGGAGCAGGCGGGUGAGUAAUGUCUGGGAAACUGCCUGAUGGAGGGGGAUAACUACUGGAAACGGUAGCUAAUACCGCAUACCAUCAGAUGUGCCCAGAGGGGAUUAGCUAGUAGGUGGGGUAAUGGCUCACCAAGGCGACGCUCCCUAGCUGGUCUGAGAGGAUGACCAGCCACACUGGAACUGAGACACGGUCCAGACUCCUACGGGAGGCAGCAGUGGGGAAUAUUGCACAAUGGGCGCAAGCCUGAUGCAGCCAUGCCGCGUGUGUGAAGAAGGCCUUCGGGUUGUAAAGUACUUUCAUCGAGGAGGCGUUACUCGCAGAAGAAGCACCGGCUAACUCCGUGCCAGCAGCCGCGGUAAUAC